CUUGUGCUCUCUCUCACUCCCUCUUGCGAAAAUAAAUAAACUUAAAAAAACUUAAAAAAUAAAAUAAAAUAAAUGGUCCCUCUCUAGGGCCUCCUUCCCUUGCCAGCCCAGCCGAUGUUGGUCUUUCCUCCUAAGUCAGUGUCUCUCAAAUUAAUGAUCUUGUUUUUCUUCCCAGCCCUUAUCAGCAUUUGGAACUAGUUGUGUAUUUUUUAUUCUUUGUCUCUUCCCGACAAGACUGUAAACUUCUCCAAAGCAAGGACUCUUCAUAGCAGGGACUCAAGAAAUUUUUACCAAGCAAAGUUAAAUCAUCUGCUCCAAGUCACACAGCUCGUUAGGGAUUACCUUUCACUGUGGCAGCCAAGUAAACUGGAAUGUAAGUAGACUGGCGAUAGAUGGAAGCAUUAACGAUAUGUUGUUGCACAGCUUAAAGAAAACAGUGCUCCCAGGCUGGCAGUGACACUGGCCAUUAGGCCCGGUGACCACCAUGCACCUGGCCCAGAAAUGGGUUCCCACUUGGCCCAGGAUAAUUCCACCGUCUCCAUUUGACGAUGCCAGUGUAGCAGUGACUCACUUUGCACACAUCUGUGGAUUCCUGUCAGAGCUGGUUAUCUGUCUAAGGAGGGAUGUUAACAUUUAUGGCAGUGAGCAGGGACGUGUGACAGUUCAAGAAAGCAAGGUGCCAGCUACCUUUUGGAGCUGCAGGUGGUUUUUAUGAAAGCAGAAUAUUGCCACUUAUUAUUUAUUUCACUUUUUAUUUUUAAAAUGUGAUUAAUAUAGCUCGCCAAUAAAUUUGGCCGGGCACAAGUAUUUAUGAAGCAUUCUUGGCAGGCUUGGGGUGACACAGCCUAAUUGCUAGGUGGGCAGAGGCAGCCCUGUGAAGUGAGCUGCUCAGCCUGAAUGCGAACCAGCCUCAUUUUAUGGGCUUCUGAGGCGGUGGUUCUCACUGAGCUCUGGGGGAAUAAUCCCAGGAGGCUCCUAGCAGGGGAAGCAAGGCGAGAGAAGGCUGACAGAGCCUGAGAGGCCGUGGAGAGAGCUCCAGGCAGGUAGGCCAGGGUUCAAAGCCCAGCCCCCCAAGGGAGUGGCAUAAGCUGGGCAACCCCUCUAAAUCUCUGUUUCCCCACAUGUAAAAGGUUUCAAAGGGUUGCUGAGAGGGUUUAAUGAGUCCACAUUUGGAAAGUGUCCUACAGUGCCUUACAAAUAAAUAAUAGGUACUCAGGAACGUUAAGUUUGAUAUUUACAAGAUGAUGGCCUCUCUAGAACAAAGCUUGGUUUUGAAUCCUAGCUCUGCCACUAUUAGCUGUGUGGCUCUGGGUAAUUACUGAACUCCUCUGUGCCUCAGUUCCUUCAGGCAUAAAAGGGGAAUAACCAGAGGGCUGCAAAAAGGAUUAAAUGAGACAAUCUAUACCUAGCACUCCACCGGUACCUAAUAUAGCUGCUAAAUUGUUGUUACUUCUUCCCUUGCCUUCUGCCUGCCUCCUUCCGUGGUCUGGCCCGAAAGACAUUUCCUGCUGGUGAAUUCCUACUUCUCCUUUGAAGCCUAGUUGAAAUAUCACCUCUUCUGUAAAGUCUUCUGUGACCGGUUUAGCAGAAGUAAUAACGUCUGCCCUGUCUGCAGACAAGACACUUUGUACAUCUCCAUGCUGAUCACUCUCAGAGCCCUGCAUUAUAGGAUGGUCCCACCUUCAGGGUAGGACGAGGUUUUAUUUGCUGCAAACCUGCUACAGUAGAUGUCCAACCCUCACCAACUCACAGCACACAGAGAGAGAAGAGGGUAAUAUUGGCCUGGCAGUGCCACCUCUAACUACCUGGUAGCAGAGGAGAUCGAUAACUGUGUCCCCCUAUAACUCGUUUGCAGCACACUGGGAAGCCUGUGUGGCUAAGUUCUGGCCUGGUGCCUAGAGUCCGUGGCCCAGCUCUCAGGGGGUGCUUGGGGAAUGUGUGCUGGUGAAGGAUGGGUCACAGGGAUUGUCUUAGCAGCUGCCACCUCUCCCUGUCAACAGUUUGAGUAGGACCAGGUGGUGACAGUGCUGGAUUAGUGGAGGAAAGAGCUGUCCCUUGGGGCUCCUGGAUCCCCAAGUUGAAGUGGAGACCAGAGACCCUGUCAGGUCUGUGAAGCUGUGUGUUUCAGGUGAGUUCCACAGUUCAGGCCAAAGACAGGUUGUCCUGCUUCACAGGCUCCCCAUCCCAGAGGAUGGGUGGGGUGUGUUGACUUCGGAGGGGUGGCACUGAGAACAGGGACAGGGUACCCUGAGACAGGCCCUUUGUCAGCAAAGCACCUGACCCUGCUUUCCCAGGCUAUUAAGCUGUGGCCAUCUUUCCGGGCCUGUGCUGUGAAGGAUCUCCCUUCCUCUUUCAGGGCUAAGGCAUUCACCAAAACGGGGCCUCCUCAAUGUGCCAGGGGCCGUGCUGCACACAGGGGGCACAGAGAUGGGUUAGACUGUGGGCCCACUGUCAGGAGCCCACGGUCUAGUGGGGAACUGCCAUGGAAACCCAAGUACAAUAUGGUGCCAGGCACGCUACAAAUGUUAAUCCACAGAGGACAUGGGUCAUAUAGAGAAAGGAGGGGUGGAGGAGGAGUGUCGAGGAAGGCGUUGGAGAGGAGACGCAAAGCACUGCCAAAGCACAGCUUGGCAGGAAUUUUCUGGAUGGAAUGAGUGAGAGAGAAGCACGCCAGGCAGAGGGAUCACACAAUGAGAAAGAGUUAUGAAAAAUGCCGUCUGUGGGGACCUCGAAGUUCAUGGUGGAGGGGUAAGGUGUGAGGAGAGAGAGGCAGGGUAGGUGAUGAGCCACAGGAGUGUCAACCUAUCCCAUCCCUUGUGUGAGGUGCAGAGGACCUCCUGCCCUGCACGAACACGCUCUGCCAUAAGCAGUAACAUCUUUGUGCAUUUUUUAAAUUUUAAUCUUAAUUUUUAUUUGAGAGAGAGAGCUCGAGCGAGUGUGCUCGCACAU